GUAAAAACGGCAAGUGAGAUGGCGGCGACAAAUAUUUUACUGCAGUGCGGCGAUCGUGGAACUCUGCUUGGAUCUGCUGCAGAAGCUCAGCAACACGCACAGGAGUUUUGUCACACCAACUACUACGAGUCCCAAGAAGCCAUUCGCUUUAUUGUUUGCUAUAAUUGCGGUCACAAAUGUUCCUGCGAAACCGAGAGCGUUAUACAUUCAAGAAAGUCUGGGCAUACUGAAUUUUAUGAUAGGACAGCAGAGGUGACGGAAGAGGCAGCAAGAAGAAACAGAGCUAACAUUCGUCAGAUGCUGAGAGUAGCUAUUGAUCGUUUGGACGAGGCUGAUACUUCAGAGGGAGCAAGAAGGCAGCAGCAGCAGCAGCUUGGUUUGCCUUCGAGACCUGUUUUACAGGAAGGACAGAGUUCAUUGACUCUAGCUGCAAAGGUCGAGCAGAUGGCUGAGUGCCUGCGGACUAUCCAGCAGAAUUCCAUGGAUGACGCGGCCAAAGUCAUGCAAGCUUUCAACUCACUGCGUAUGUUUGUUAGGAAUAUUGCUACGAAUCCUGAUGAGGAGAAAUACCGCAAAAUUAGAAUCAGCAAUACUGCAUUCCAGGCGAGGGUUGGCCACCUACGAGGAGGUAUCGAGUUCCUUGAGGUCUGUGGAUUCGAAAGAACUAUAGGGGGUGAACACUUGUACAUGCAGAGAGAAAAUGUGGACUCUGAUGUGCUUUAUGCAGCUGCAAAUGUGCUCAACAAUGCCAUUGGAAAUGCAUAAUAUAGAAGUUACAUGUGGUGUUGUUGUUUAGCAAAUCAAGGAGUUAAAAAACAUAUGCUUUUGUGGAAAACAAUUAUUUUGUGUUUUGACAUUUUGUUAUCAAACAUAUAAUCUUGUUUUACUCUUUUAAUGUGAUGUAAUUUGAUCGUUGAUACAUGUAUUGAAA
rnacentral:misc_RNA from 1 species